rnacentral:rRNA from 1 species
CGGGUGAGUAACACGUGGAUAACCUACCUAUAAGACUGGGAUAACUUCGGGAAACCGGAGCUAAUACCGGAUAAUAUUUUGAACCGCAUGGUUCAAAAGUGAAAGACGGUCUCGCUGUCACUUAUAGAUGGAUCCGCGCUGCAUUAGCUAGUUGGUAAGGUAACGGCUUACCAAGGCAACGAUGCAUAGCCGACCUGAGAGGGUGAUCGGCCACACUGGAACUGAGACACGGUCCAGACUCCUACGGGAGGCAGCAGCC